GAGUUUUGGGGGCUCGAAGACGAUCAGAUACCGUCCUAGUCUCAACCAUAAACGAUGCCGACCAGGGAUCUGCAGAUGUUGCUUUUAGGACUCCGCCGGAACUUUAUGAGAAAUCAAAAUUUUUGGGU
rfam:Nicotiana sylvestris Nsyl_contig123957, whole genome shotgun sequence.